GGUGGCACAAUGGUUAAAGCAUUUGGCUGCUAACCAAAAGAUUGGUAGUUUGGACCUACCACCU
rnacentral:tRNA from 1 species